CCCUAUUCUCAGGGCGGGGUGAAAUUCCCCACCGGCGGUGACUCCUUGUGAGAAGCCCGCGAGCGCCUUUAUUAUUGGGAUAAAGGGUCAGCAGAUCUGGUGAGAUUCCAGAGCCGACGGUUAUAGUCCGGAUGAAAGAGGAUAUUC
rnacentral:ncRNA from 22 species